UGACGCUCACAGGCCCUGGGCAGCGGAGCGUUUAGAGUUCCGGCUGCUCCUUAGGGAUCUCUGCCUCCUCACCAGCAGGCUGGGAGCCGGCCCUUCUCGCUGUUUCUGGCGUCUGCCUCCAGCAAGUCCUCCCGUUUCUCUACCUCUUCCCUCAUUUCCCGUCUGCCCAGCUUUGUGUGAAACCAGACGACAAAGGGUGUUCGGAUUAAGAGCCAGAUGUUAGAGAAAUUUCUGGAAUGUUCCAGGUACACCUAUGUCCUCCAACACGAAAGUUAAAGCAUGUCCUUGAGACUUCUCAGACACCACUGCCACUCUCUUAGUUUAACUGGACGUGCGUAUUUUAUCCAGCUGGUGGCUACCAUAUUGGACAGCACAGAUGUGGAACAUUGCCAUCGUUGCGGAAAUUUCUACUGGACUGCUUUAGAAACUCAAUCAGCAGCAGGUAGCUGAUGACCCGUCUGUGACUUCUGUUCUUCUGCCCAGUGGCACGUGAUUGGCAGGCAGAGCCAAACAGCCAAGGUACCCCUAACUACCAUAAUAAAGUUCUUGGCCUUGGAACCA
rnacentral:lncRNA from 1 species